ACUCUUUCGAACUAGUUAGCGUACUCUGCUUGAUCAUUGAGGUUUCAUCAUCAUCAUUCUUUGAGGUUUGCCACCUCACGGGCGACACAUCAAAAGAUUUAUUGCUGCUCAAGCUAUAUAGUUUAUUCCAUAUUAUUCGUUAAUUUUGCCUAUAUAAGCCAGAACGUUGGUCCCACUUCGAUAAAGCCGCAAGACACGAGAACCCUCUCAUCGUGGCCGCCGAUAACUACAUUCCCGAUCCUGCGGAAAGAAUGGAAAGCAGUCGACGUCGCCCCAAACACGUCAUUUCGGAUCCUCCCGAUCCACUAACGGUGCUUUUAGGUACCUCAAGCACCGGUCACCGUUCUCGUCGAAACCGUCGCUUGCGACGAAGGGCUCGACGAGAAAAUUAACCCUCAGACACAGCUGACUGAGUUUCUCGCCGGAUCUUCUCAGUGGGUCGCGUUUUCGAUCCGGUGUUCGUGUUAGCAACGUCGUCAGGUUUGAGCCCCGUGAGCUCACCUACUAGUUAAGGUUACGCUGGAAUAGCCUCUCAAGGUUAACAGCUUAGGUAGGGAAAAAAAAAGAACGUUGGUUCAGUUCUAUUUGAGCUAACGAGGUGAUAACUUGGACAAGCGAUAUCCUAGCGAACUGAUCGAGACGUCAACUUGUUGUGACUUUGUCUGCAUCUUGAGUGGUUACUAACUAUAGUUUGUUAUCUAUAUAUUAAUACGUGAAGCAAAAACUUUGUACCACUUUUUACGAAAAUUGCGCGGACGGAGGAGUAUGAAAUUUCUCACACUUAUAGAGAAUAUAGAGAAGGAGUGCACAAUGCUAAUAUUUUUUAAAAAGAAUGCAUAAAAGAUACUUUAAAUCAAUAAAGAAAACAUUACAUUACCAUGUAUUUGACACAACACGUACAUAAAAAUAUACUCUUUGCUUACUGUCAAUUGGGAAACUUUUGUUAUUGUUUAAAGUCUGUGGUCGAAUUGAAAAUAGAUUAAUAUUGUUUGUCUUUAAUAAUAAGUAUCUGUAGUACAGUUUUAGCGAAUACUGUGAUUAUAUUAUCGAAAUAUAAUAGUGUUUGACAAUAGAAGCAUAAUAAUGUUGAAACUUAUAAUUUCAAUUAAUUAUAGUCGAAUCUCGACUACUGCGGGGCCACUAGUUAAUUUUAUUGAACGAAAAGUAAACAAAAAUAAUGUCUGGUGGAAGGAAACGAAAAGUAGAUACAGAGGGUCGCCAGUUUCAAGAAAGAUGGACUGAAGAAUUAUUUUUUAUCUUGCACAACGCGAUCGCGUCUUCUGGCCUGACGGACUGCACAGCUGAAACUUCCAUCUCAUGACUCAAGGUUGACGUCGACCAUUGAAGUAGGUGAUGUCGUAUGGACAAUUAUAUCAUGGAGAGUCUUCAGGACCGCAUUGCUGUGCAGAAAUCUGGUGGACUGUACCUAUCGACCCUGAUGCGGAGACUGCAAGCUUUGCGCGCGCAUACCACGCUGAUGCUGUAGAUCUCCACGUUUUUAACGUAAUAAGAAUGUCACUGAUGUUUUUUUUUCGAAAAAUACGCUUUUUUAUUGGUAUCAUUGUUAGAAUGAGCAUCAUAUUGAAAUAGUAAUUUGUUUUAGUUUCAUAAUUAUAACACAGUAAUAAAUUACAGGUUUUAUUGGUGGUAGGACCUCUUGUGAGUCCGCACGGGUAGGUAUCACCACCCCGCCUAUUUCUGCCGUGAAUCAGCUGUUUCGGUUUGAAGGGUGCCGUUGUAACUAUACUGAGACCUUAGAACUUAUAUCUCAAGGUGGGCGGCGCGUUUACAUUGUAGAUCUCUAUGGGCUCCAGUAACCACUUAACACCAGGUGAACUGUGAGCUCGUCCACCCAUCUAAGCAAUAAAAAAAUCAAAUAUCUAAACGGUUUCCAUAAUCGAAAACGCGCUCUUUUUAAUACGCUUUUAUUAUAUAUGUAUUGUCCGUUUGUAACGGAAUCUUUGAACAUGAUUU